rnacentral:rRNA from 1 species
GUUCCCUACGGGAGGCAGCAGUGAGGAAUAUUGGUCAAUGGUCGGGAGACUGAACCAGCCAAGCCGCGUGAGGGAGGAAGGUACAGAGUAUCGUAAACCUCUUUUGUCAGGGAACAAAGGCGGGGACGUGUCCCCGGAUGAGUGUACCUGAAGAAAAAGCAUAGGCUAACUCCGUGCCAGCAGCCGCGGUAAUACGGAGGAUGCGAGCGUUAUCCGGAUUUAUUGGGGUUAAAGGGUGCGCAGGCGGUCUGUUAAGUCAGCGGUCAAAGCCCGGGGCUCACACCCGGCGCGCCG